AAAAAAGAAACAACAACGUUACAAAACAAAACUGGUUAAAUUAUUUUCUAGAAUAACAUGUGAUGUGUAUUUUAUUCAGUAAGCAUCUCCUUAGUAUAUGAAUAUAAAUUUACAAAUAAAAGUAAUACAAGAUCCUAAUACAAGGAAAACAGAAAGAAAAAAA
rnacentral:sRNA from 1 species